rnacentral:rRNA from 1 species
GGUAUGGGAUGAGCUUGCGUCCGAUUAGCUAGUUGGCGGGGCAACGGCCCACCAAGGCGACGAUCGGUAGCCGGCCUGAGAGGGUGAUCGGCCACAUUGGGACUGAGAUACGGCCCAGACUCCUACGGGAGGCAGCAGUAGGGAAUAUUGCACAAUGGGGGAAACCCUGAUGCAGCAACGCCACGUGUGGGAAGAAGCAUUUCGGUGUGUAAACCACUGUCAUGAGGGAAUAAGGCCCGCCUCCGGACGGGAUUGAAUGUACCUUGAGAGGAAGCACCGGCAAACUUCGUGCCAGCAGCCGCGGUAAUACGAGGGGUGCAAGCGUUGUUCGGAAUUACUGGGCGUAAAGGGAGCGUAGGCGGAGAUUCAAGCGGAUUGUACAAUCCCGGGGCCCAACCCCGGCUCUGCAGUCCGAACUGGAUCUCUUGGAUAGUUCAGGGGCAGGC